rnacentral:rRNA from 1 species
UGAGGAAUAUUGGUCAAUGGCCGAAAGCCUGACCCAGCAACGCCGCGUGUGGGAUGAAGGCCCUCGGGUCGUAAACCACUGUCAGGAGGAAAGAAAAGUCGGCCGGAUAAUACUCGGUCGACCUGACGGUACCUCCAAAGGAAGCACCGGCUAACUCCGUGCCAGCAGCCGCGGUAAUACGGAGGGUGCAAGCGUUGUUCGGAAUUACUGGGCGUAAAGCGCGUGUAGGUGGUCGAGUAAGUCGAAUGUGAAAGCCCCGGGCUCAACCCGGGAAGUGCAUCCGAAACUGCUCGACUAGAGUCCCGGAGAGGAAGGCAGAAUUCCCAAUGUAGGGGUGAAAUCCGUAGAUAUUGGGAGGAAUACCGGUGGCGAAGGCGGCCUUCUGGACCAAUACUGACGCUCAUGCACGAAAGCGUGGGGAGCAAACAGGAUUAGAUACCCACGUAGUCCCUGAGCGGGCUGGCAAGGCGCAU